UGUGACACAGGAGCAUCACUUAUGAAAGGUUGCACUCAAAUAGUACAACGAUGAAGGAUAUAUGAGCAACUGCUAUAUACCAGAAGCAGGAGGCAGUUACAAAAUUAACUAAUGGAGACAGAAACCUUGCAAUUGACUGUGAGAAUUGAACAUUGGACAGUAUCUUCCCUGAACAAUAUUCUUUUGGAGAAGAUUCUGUUUGAGCAUGGGGACAGCUUUUGGAGGGAAAAGAUGAAGAUGAUUAUUUCAAGUAUCACUUUUCAAACCCAUUUAAAAUUCUUCUUGACUGGUCAGACACAACACCACAUAAUGGUCAACCUCUGAUGUAAAGAGAAAUCAUGGAAACAUCAA